UUAGACAAUCCAAGCUAAGUUCGCGUCUUGGCCGCAAGGGUGCAUCACGACUUAUGCAAUUCUAGCUAAGCCCAUGACAGAAGGGCGGCCGCACAAGUGGAUGACAAGAAAUUGUGCCUGUCACCGACCGCCCCUGCUGAUGUGGCUGGCGACUUGCAGUGCCACCUCAGGGCAACGCCUCUCCACCUGCAAGUGUUGGCCUCGGUAGACAUCUGAAUCGGAGAAAUGGGAGAGGGGAAAUGAAAGGUGGAAGCAAUAACAAAGAAUCUAGAGAUGAAGGAGGGGGAGGACGGGGAAGAAAGGGUUGAGCUGCACCCAUUGGUGAGGGUGGGACAAGUCAAGAGGUGAUGUCCGAACGCCACUGUUGUGUUGGCGAUGUCGGUUGGCGUGGCUCUGUUAUGACAAAUUAUCGACAUCAACGAGGAAAGGGGGAAGCAACAGGGAUCAUGCACCGAAUCAUGUUUGUAAUAAAUUAUAAGGGUUAGAUUCUUCCAACAUCAUUUUACUUGGCUUAGAAAUUUGACCAUUUGCAGUCAUCUUUCUUCUUUUUGGCAUAUGGCAUUCUCUAUUAUCUUAGUCAAUUAAAAAAUUUCACAUUUUCUCAUAGCACCUGCUUGGUAGGUGCACUUCUUAGUAGCUUUGACCUUUUAAAACUACUGAGAGACGGUCUUUCUUUCUGGUUCACGGUUCAUCCCUCUCACUUAUCUCUCUAGCAACUAUUUUGAAUUAAAGAAAACUACUUGAUAGGUGUUUUCACUGUUUCCCCAUUUCAGUAAUCUUAAUUAUAUAUGUGGAAGAAAAGUGCUACAACAGCAACAAAAGCAACAGAACAAUAUCUUUAUGAUUGGGGGUCAACUGUAUUAAUAUUUUCCCCAUUGUUGUCUGCUGAAAGCAAUGUCACUGGUCAAACUAGGACCUAUCAAAAGUCUCCUUAAUUGCUCCUAAUGAUUUCAGUAGUAUAAGAAUAAUUGCUAAUGUUAUGUGUUUGUAGUCUUUUGGUGCAUAUUACAAUUGCUUUUAGAUCGAAGCACUUAUGAAAAUUUAUAUUGUUGAGUGUGAAAUUCUCUGUGCACCAAAGUGUAAGUAAGAAAUCAUAGAUUUAUUCCAUUCAAAAUCAUAAAUAGGCAACAGGAAACUGUUAUAUGUGUUUGGCUUAGCAUAGUACCCCCAUUUCCCUUAAAAAUAAAUAAAUAAAUAAAAUAUUUUAGCUCUACCCUUGUUGAAGUUCAUGGGGUGAAAUCAGCAGAUUAUGUAAAGGUACUUGUACAUUAGAAAUUGUUAAAUAAUUAUCAUUCCUGAUCUAGAACUAGCAAAAAAAAAAAAAAAAAACAGUUUUUUUACUAUUUCUUAUGACAAGCUUGGGUGUCAAUCUAUUGGACCAAAAUCAUUCGUUAAAGGUCUUCUGUAGCCUUUUAGUUGUAUACAUGUUAUCAUAGUUAGUAUGAAGCUAGUUUGGUUUUAAGUUGCUGUCUUUCUUAUGAUAUGUUUAUUAACAACCAAUUUUUUUGUUUCUUUAAACUGUCCCACAACAAUGCUUUGUGAGGCCAAUCAACUGGUUAGUCGGCAAUUUUUAUCGGGCACCCUUUUCAAAUUCUGUUCGCAUAUAAGAGUAUUUUAUUUAUCUUCUUGAAACUUAUUUCAUAUUGGUUGCAGGAGCAUCAUUUUGCACUGUUACAACGAGAAUGAAAUGUUUCGGGUCGAUAUCGAGAAAAUGCGUAGCGAAUUGAGGGCACAGUUGGAGGCAACAAAAUACGAUAUUAUAAAGUAUUGCAUCGGUACUCUUGUUUCGAAAUUUGCCAUUGGUCUUGCAAUUCUGCGCAUUCUGAUGUAAACCAUUGUUUUCUUUGCCCAAACAAAAAAAAAAAGCACCAUGUACCAAACGGUUGUAACGCAUAGCUGAAGUUUGUCAACUUUCUUAUAGAUGGUGACUCAAAUGAGGUUUAUGCUGAAGGGCCAGCUCGGCCAACUGGGGGUGAUGCUGCUAUUGCAAUGUUGAUUGGACCAAAUUCUCCAAUUUCUUUAGAGAGUCUAUACGGGGGAACUCACAUGGCUCAUGUUUGUGACUUUUGCAAGCCAAAACUUGCAAGCGAAUACCUGGUUUGCUUCCUUUCCUUCCUGAUGCCAUUUGGCACCUCGGUCCUGCUGACAGAAGUGCAAUUUGAAUGUUUCUGCUCUUCAUUCUUCAAGAUUUUGCUUUAUUUUUGUUCAAUCUUAUGUUUUUUGUAGUGAAUCAUGUAAUAAUUUUCAGGCACAAAUGUUCUUUUGUUCUUGUUGAGGCGAUUGUGGUUUCAUCAAGAACAACUUUUCUGCCUGAUCCCCAAUCGGAUGGCAUUUUUUCUUUCUUUUUACUGUUGCAUGUUCUCUUUCUCUUUACUGCUGCAUAUAUUGUUUCUA